GUGCCAGCCGCCGCGGUAAUACGUAGGGGGCGAGCGUUAUCCGGAAUUAUUGGGCGUAAAGAGUGCGUAGGUGGCUUUGUAAGCGCGGGGUGAAAGGCAGUGGCUUAACCAUUGUUAGCCCUGCGAACUGUGAGGCUUGAGUACAGGAGGGGGAAGCGGAAUUCCUGGUGUAGCGGUGAAAUGCGUAGAUAUCAGGAAGAACACCGGUGGCGAAGGCGGCUUUCUGGACUGUAACUGACACUGAGGCACGAAAGCGUGGGGAGCAAACAGGAUUAGAUACCCUGGUAGUCCACGCCGUAAACGAUGAGCACUAGGUGUCGGGAUCGCAAGAUUUCGGUGCCGCAGUUAACGCAUUAAGUGCUCCGCCUGGGGAGUACGUACGCAAGUAUAAAACUCAAAGGAAUUGACGGGGACCCGCACAAGCAGCGGAGCAUGUGGUUUAAUUCGAAGCAACGCGAAGAACCUUACCAGAGCUUGACAUCUUCCUGACAGGUCUUUAAUCGGACAAUUCUUCGGACAGGAAAGACAGGUGGUGCAUGGUUGUCGUCAGCUCGUGUCGUGAGAGU
rnacentral:rRNA from 1 species